rnacentral:rRNA from 1 species
CCUANGGGGGGCAGCAGUGGGGAAUCUUGCGCAAUGGGGGAAACCCUGACGCAGCAACGCCGUGUGAGUGACGAAGGCUUUCGGGUCGUAAAGCUCUGUCAGAUGGGAAGAAUUAGUUUGCUGAAAAUAUCGGCAAAUGAUGACGGUACCAUCAAAGGAAGCACCGGCUAACUCCGUGCCAGCAGCCGCGGUAAUACGGAGGGUGCAAGCGUUGUUCGGAAUUAUUGGGCGUAAAGCGCGUGUAGGCGGAUAGAUAAGUCAGGCGUGAAAUCCCUUGACUCAAUCAAGGAACUGCACUUGAAACUAUUUAUCUCGAGUACGAUAGGGGAGGGUGGAAUUCCCAGUGUAGAGGUGAAAUUCAUAGAUAUUGGGAGGAACACCAGUCGCGAAGGCGACCCUCUGGAUCGAUACUGACGCUGAGACGCGAAAGCGUGGGUAGCAAACAGGAUUAGAUACCCUUNUANUC